GCCUGUGAUGACUCGAAUUUCUUCACUUUGACCUGAAUGUUACUUUGAAGAAACGCAGAUUCUGAGG